rnacentral:rRNA from 1 species
CGUGAACGAUGAAGGUCUUCUGAUUGUAAAGUUCUUUUAUUUAGGAAAAAAAGCGCGCUAGGAAAUGAGCGCGCCUUGAUGGUACUAAUUGAAUAAGUGACAGCUAACUAUGUGCCAGCAGCUGCGGUAAAACAUAGGUCACGAGCAUUAUCCGGAUUUAUUGGGCGUAAAGGAAGCGUAGGUGGGGAGGUUGAUCCAUUGUUAAAGGCAUUUGCUUAACAAAUGUGUGCGAUGGAAAUCGCCUCCCUAGAGUUAAUCAGGGGGUACUGGAAUUCAAUGUGUAGCGGUGGAAUGCGUAGAUAUAUUGAGGAACACCAGAGGCUAAGGCGAGUACCUAGGAUAUAACUGACACUGAGGCUUGAAAGCGUGGGGAGCAAAUGGGAUUAUAUACCCCAGUAGUCCACGCCGUAAACGAUGGGCAUUAGGUAUUUGACACUAUGUCAAGUGCUGUACCUAACGCGUUAAAUGCCCCGCCUGGGUAGUAUAUAUGCAAAUAUGAAACUCAAAGAAAUUGACGGGGACCUGAACAAGUGGUGGAGCAUGUUGCUUAAUUCCAUAAUACACGAAAAACCUUACCAAGGCUUG